rnacentral:rRNA from 1 species
GAACGAGUAGAGUGGCGAACUGGUGAGUAACAGGUGGGUAAUGUGCCUCUUAGUGUGGGAUAACCUCUGGAAACAGUGGCUAAUACCUCAUGUGGCACGGAUAACGUUGGUUAACCGUGUUAAAGACUUCGGUCGCUAAGAGAGCAGCCCGCCCCCGAUUAGCUUGUUGGUAGGGUAACGGCCUACCAAGGCUCCGAUCGGUAGGUGGCCUGAGAGGGUGGUCACUCACACUGGGACUGAGAUACGGCCCAGACUCCUACGGGGGGCAGCAGUCUAGAAGCUUCCACAAUGGACGAAAGUCUGAUGGAGCGACGCCGCGUGUGGGAUGACAGCCGUGAGGUUGUAAACCACUGUCAGCAGGGAAGAAUGCCUUGAUGGUGAAUCAGGGAGAGACGGUACCUGCAGAGGAAGCCCCGGCUAACUCCGUGCCAGCAGCCGCGGUAAUACGGAGGGGGCAAACGUUGUUCGGAUUUACUGGGCGUAAAGGGUGUCUAGGCGGUUCGAUUAGUCUGGUGUGAAAUAUCCUCGCUCAACGAGGAAGACGCAUUGGAAACUGUCGAGCUCGAGAGUGGAAGAGGCAGGUGGAAUUCCUGGUGUAGCGGUGGAAUGCGUAGAUAUCAGGAAGAACACUCGUGGCGAAGGCGGCCUGCUGGUCCAUUUCUGACGCUGAAGCACGAAAGCCAGGGGAGCGAACGGGAUUAGAUACCCCGGUAGUCCUGGGCCGUAAACGUUGAACACUGGAUGUCGGGGGUAUCGACCCCCUCGGUGUCGGAGCUAACGCGUUAAGUGUUCCGCCUGGGGAGUACGACCGCAAGGUUGAAACUCAAAGGAAUUGACGGGGGCCCGCACAAGCGGUGGAGGAUGUGGUUUAAUUCGACGCAACGCGAAGAACCUUACCUGGGCUUAAACCGCAGGGUAAACCCUCUGAAAGGAGGGCUGCUUCGGCAAUCCUGUAGAGGUGCUGCAUGGCUGUCGUCAGCUCGUGUCGUGAGAUGUUGGGUUAAGUCCCGCAACGAGCGCAACCCUUGCUCUUAGUUACCAGCGCGUAAUGGCGGGGACUCUAAGAGGACCGCCCUCGCAAGGGGGAGGAAGGUGGGGAUGACGUCAAGUCCUCAUGGCCCUUAUGUCCAGGGCUACACACGUCCUACAAUGGCCGGGUACAAAGGGCUGCAAGCUCGCGAG